rnacentral:rRNA from 1 species
GACAGAGGGUGCAAACGUUGUUCGGAAUUACUGGGCGUAAAGCGCGUGUAGGCGGCUAAGUAAGUCGGGCGUGAAAUCCCACGGCUCAACCGUGGAAGUGCACUCGAAACUGCAUAGCUAGAGUCCUGGAGAGGAAGGUGGAAUGCUUGUGUAGAGGUGAAAUUCGUAGAUAUCAAGCGGAACACCGGUGGCGAAGGCGGCCUCUGGACAGUGACUGACGCUGAGA